GACGAACGCUGGCGGCGUGCUUAACACAUGCAAGUCGAACGGAAAGGCCCUGCUUGCAGGGUACUCGAGUGGCGAACGGGUGAGUAACACGUGGGUGAUCUGCCCUGCACUUCGGGAUAAGCUUGGGAAACUGGGUCUAAUACCGGAUAGGAGCCAUCUUUAGUGUGGUGGUUGGAAAGUUUUUUCGGUGUAGGAUGAGCUCGCGGCCUAUCAGCUUGUUGGUGGGGUAAUGGCCUACCAAGGCGGCGACGGGUAGCCGGCCUGAGAGGGUGUACUGCCACAUUGGGACUGAGAUACGGCCCAGACUCCUACGGGAGGCAGCAGUGGGGAAUAUUGCACAAUGGGCGCAAGCCUGAUGCAGCGACGCCGCGUGGGGGAUGAAGGCCUUCGGGUUGUAAACUCCUUUCGCUAGGGACGAAGCUUUGUUGUGACGGUACCUAGAUAAGAAGCACCGGCUAACUACGUG
rnacentral:rRNA from 1 species